rnacentral:rRNA from 1 species
UCCCUCAGUAACGGCGAGUGAACAGGGAGAAGCUCAGCGCAUAAUCCACAUUCGAAAGAUUGUUGGAAAUGUUGCGUUAAGGCUGGCACUCAGCUGCAUUGAAUCUGCUGGAAGUUCCCUUGACUGGGGCUACCAUAGAGGGUGAAAGUCCUUUACCGGCGGAUGAUGUGUGGCAGGUGUCAGCUUUCGAGUCGGGUUGUUUGAGAUUGCAGCCCAAAGUGGGUCGUAGAUUCGAUCUAAGGCUAAAUAUAUGGUCAACUCCGAUAGCGAACAAGUACAGUGAUGGAAAGAUGAAAAGAACUUUGGAGAGAGGGUUAAAAAGUGCGUGAAACCGCUUGGAGGAAAACGGACACAGGCGCUAUGUGCUUGCCGGGGAAUCAGCUGGGAAGACUGGCUGUCAUGUCGGCUGGGACCAAAUGGCCGUGGUCGGCUCGGCAGACGGUAUUUUCGGCGCAUUUCCCUGCGGCGGCCAGUCGGAGACUGGGUUGGUCUGUGCUGCUGUUGUGUACUGCAACUACCUCAGCUGCGGAACGGCAGUUGACAGUGCGGACCUGACCUGGUCAAGUGCAAGCUGUGUUGGCAGCAGUGCGGAGGCUUAGGGCCCGGAUGUCUGUGCCUGGACGGCAACUUGUUUCAAGGUGUCGACCGGGCGUGGGCGUCUGGCCUGAAGGCUUCUACAUCGCACGUUGACUGGUUUGACGUUCUGUGUCCGACCCGUCUUGAAACACGGACCACGGAGUCUAACGCUCAAGCGAGUUACCUGGCUGAAGGCCGGUAAAGCUGAAUGAAAGUGAAUGUAGGGGAGAACUGGCCGUCCUCGGGCGGUCGGUGCAUCCCCGGCACGUCUCAACUUCGCAUUCGUGAAGGAGGCGUAGCAUGAGCUUGAUCGUUGGGACCCGAAAGAUGGUGAACUAUGCCUGAGCAGGCUGAAGUCAGGGGAAACUCUGAUGGAAGGUCGUCGCGAUUCUGACGUG